CGCGGCCUAUCAGCUUGUUGGUGAGGUAAUGGCUCACCAAGACGACGACGGGUAGCCGGCCUGAGAGGGCGACCGGCCACACUGGGACUGAGACACGGCCCAGACUCCUACGGGAGGCAGCAGUGGGGAAUAUUGCACAAUGGGGGAAACCCUGAUGCAGCGACGCAGNAUGNNGGAUGNCGGCCUUCGGGUUGUAAACCGCUUUCAGCAGGGAAGAAGCCUUUCGGGGUGACGGUACCUGCAGAAGAAGUACCGGCUAACUACGUGCCAGCAGCCGCGGUAAUACGUAGGGUACAAGCGUUGUCCGGAAUUAUUGGGCGUAAAGAGCUCGUAGGUGGUUGGUCACGUCUGCUGUGGAAACGCAACGCUUAACGUUGCGCGUGCAGUGGGUACGGGCUGACUAGAGUGCAGUAGGGGAGUCUGGAAUUCCUGGUGUAGCGGUGAAAUGCCCAGAUAUCAGGAGGAACACCCGGUGGCGAAGGCGGGACUCUGGGCUGUAACUGACACUUGAGGAGCGAAAGCAUGGGGAAGCGAACAGGAUUUAAAAUACCCUGGUAGUCCAUGCCGUAAAACCGUUGGGCCACUUAGGUGUGGGGGGAACAUUUCCACGUUUCUCCCCCCNCCGUUANCUAAACGCANUUUAANUUGCCCCCCGCCCUUAANGGAAGUUACCGGNAANGGGCGAAAUUUCCNAGCCNCCACUUGGGCCGGGCCCGGUUUACUUAAU
rnacentral:rRNA from 1 species